rnacentral:rRNA from 1 species
UAAGGGAUAUUGCACAAUGGGGGAAACCCUGAUGCAGCAACGCCGCGUGGGUGAAGAAGGCUUUCGAGUCGUAAAACCCUUUUCUAGGGGAAGAGGAAGGACAGUACCCUAGGAACAAGUCUCGGCUAACUACGUGCCAGCAGCCGCGGUAAGACGUAGGAGGCGAGCGUUAUCCGGAUUCAUUGGGCGUAAAGGGCAAGUAGGCGGUUGUCAAAGUUGGGCGUGACAUCUCCUGGCUCAACUAGGAGAGGUCGUUCAAAACUAGGCAACUAGAGGGCAGAAGAGGAAAGCGGAACUCCUGAUGUAGCGGUGGAAUGCUCAGAUAUCAGGAAGAACACCAGUGGCGAAGGCGGCUUUCUGGUCUGCACCUGACGCUGAGAGGCGAAGGCCAGGGUAGCGAACGG